CCAUUGCACUCCAGCCUAGGCAACAAGAGCGAAACUCUGUCUCAAAAAAAAAAAAAGAUCAAAAUCGCUAAAAUGACUAGAAAUACAAUAUGAGAAAAAAUAUAAGAAAAAGUGAACACAAAGGUAUUAUGAGACACUCUAACAUAAAUAUCAGUUUUUGAUAGAUUAUAUAGAUCGUGAGUUCUCAUCACUUAGCUCUCAUUUGUAAGUGAGAACAUGCAGUAUUUGGUUUUCUGUUCCUGUGUUAGUUUGCUAAGGAUAAUAGCCUCCAACUUCAUCCAUGUUCCCGCAAAAGACAUGUUCUUGAAGAAGGAGGGUGGGAGGAGGGAGAGGAGCAGAAAAAAUAAUGAAUGGGUACCAGGUUUAGUACCUGGGUGACAAAGUAAUCUGUACAAAAAGCCCCCAUGACGCGAGUUUGCCUAUAUAACAAACUUGUACCUGUGUCCCUGAACCUAAAAGUUAAAAUAAAAUGUAAGUGAAAAAACAAUAAUAUAGAUCAAAAAUAAAGUCAGGGAAACUGUAAACAACAACAUUAGUUAUAUUAACACAUAUGCAUAAAUAUAUAAAAUGUAUAUGCACAUAUAUUUAUGUAUCUAAUAUAAUUCCCCUUCCUUCGUGGAAGGAGGCUGGGGCUACCUGAAAAACAGGCUCCAUAGCUUCUUUCCACUUGCCCAUAGAAUGCUCUCAAAUACUAUUAAUAUACUGCAUUAGAAAGAACAUCUUAAUAAAUUUAUAAAAGCUAAUAUUUAGACAACAUUUUUGCACUAACAUAUAGGUGACCUAUCAAUUAAAAAUGACAUCAAAAUUAAAAAUGUAUAAAACAAUAACUAGCAAUUACAAAACUCAUGCAAAACAUGAAUGUAAGAGGAAAUCAAAAUUGCAAUGAACAUUUAUUAGAAAAUAUUGCAUUCCUACACUACUACAAAACAUGAAAUUACUAAAUGUAUGCAAUGUAGCCAAGCCUUACCUAGAAGCAAAUUCAUAAUCUUAAAUGUUUUCCUUAUUGAUAAAAGAGAAUAAAAAUAAUGGAACCAAGCAUUCACCUUAAUUAUUUGGAAAAAGAAACAGAAAAAAAACAGGAGGAAAUAUAUAAUAGCAAAUAUAGAAAUCCAAGAACAAGGAAACCAAAAUACAAGUCCAAUAAAGUCAAUGAUUAAACCUAGGAUUUAAUCUUUAGAUUAAAACAAAUCUAACACAUACAAUUUGAAAAAAAUCUUUUAAAAUGUUGGUGCCCAACUAUCCUAAUUAUUAUUCUUGUACUCUCAACUCAUGAAAGUUCUCAGUGUCUCUCCUUCAGUAUAGUUCAAGGAACUCUGGUCUUCCCACUUUGAUCCAAUUCACCAGAGCAUUUCAAGCUGGCCCCAUGGUUUGACUACCAGAAGGCCUCCAAGGGAAAUAGGCCGCCAAGGAAAUGAGCUUCAGUAAAAGCUUUUACCAAAAAGCUUUUACCAUGACCUCCAUCUUCAUGGUAGGGCUGGUCUCAGACAAGAGAUAUGCACCAUCAGGUCUUUCCCCAAGACCAACGUCUGGGUGAAUGUAGCCCAAUAACAGGGGAGAGGGCUUUCCCUUGGUACAGAAGAGUAUACUCUGUAUGUUACUGUCCUGAUUUGCUCUCUACAAAAUGGGUGCUCAAUUUUUGAAGAUCGAGUCUUAGCAGAAAGUUGCUUAUUUUUGCCUACAUCAUACUGUCUCAACAGAUUUGGCUUCUUCUAUCCUUGUGUCAUCACUGAAGCACAGAAGCAUGGGUGUGAAGCAGGAAACUUAAAGACAACAGUAGAAACCAGAAAGCAGAAAAAAGGAACAAGAAAGAAGGCUUCCUGCAAACCCCAACCCUUUGAAUAUGUCCAAAUUCAUCAAAUUGUACAGUAGCAGCCUGACUGAAGUCUGCCCUGGGGACAAAUUGCAAAACCUAUAACCUAAGGACAGCAAGCCAGCUGAAAUUUUGAGAGCCACCUUACAGAGAACCUAACAGCAAAGACUGGAGAGAGGCUUCCAGCCAACAGCCAGCAAGGAAUUGAAGCCCUCAGUCCAAUAGCAGCAGUGAGGAACUGAAUCCUGCCAACAGCCUCGUGGAUGGGUUGCUUGCUGCCUGACUCUAACUCCUGCUACUACUGCAAACACCACUGCCAUGAAUAUCUUCAGCAAGACCUCCUUCCAGACCUGCACGAACAGUUGCGUGAAAUGUAUAUGCACAAAGGGAUUGCAACGGAAGACCUAGAGACUAGGGAAGAACUUGGAACAAUAAUCUCAGUUUCUUCAUUUCCUAAACUGAGAGUGUUGCUGUUUUUAAAUGAAGGUCGACUGAUUCACGCUGGGCUUCAGACAUGAGAGGUUAGGAGUAGAAGGCAUGCCUCGUUCAAAGAGACUGCGAAGUCGGAGAUCAAAGUGCUGGCCAAUUUGAUUUCUGAUUCUUGGCAGCACAGAGGCCACUGGAGAGAGGCAUAACCUUGCGUGGCAGUUGCACUGGAAUUGGAUUUGUCUCAGAUGUUUCAGAUGACUAAGUGCAAAUGUGAUGAGGAUGAAGAACUUCAUGAUGAUCCACUUUCACUUAAUCAAUGAAAACCAAAAGAACCUGCCUUACUAUGCACCUAUGGCCCAUCAAAGGUGAGAGUAGAAUCUGCCAUGAUUUAGAAGCAAACAAGAAAAAGUACACGUCAGGUGAGUAGCUGCUAGCUAAGAACUUGGGCAUUGGGGUCAGACAGGCCUGGGUUUAAAUCCUGGCCCUGUCAUUCUGGGGAAACAUGUUUUUGCUUUCUCCUCUAUGAAAUAGAGGCAGUGGGUAUCCUGAACAUGUCACCUUUACUUGUCCAGCUCAUCAGUCAGGGUUUGGUCAGAGAACUGCUGUAAACGUUAUGGGAAUAAGGGAUUUUAUUCAGAAUUAGAGCCUGCACAGAUGUAGAAGGAGGCAUGAAGCGGGUGUUGGAGGAUUGGUCACUAUGUAGUCCUGCAUCCUAAGUCUGUGGUGAGGCUGGACACAUUCAAGCUUGCAGGAGAAUUGGAGAAACGAAGCAACACAGCGAUGGAAGUGAGACUACUGAAGGUAAGCUUGGGAGGGGGUCCUCGACACCACCACAUCAGCGGAUCCACAGCUAAGUGAUUGGUGGUGGCCUGGGGUGCUGCUCUUUAGCAGGGAUGAGAGUGGAGCGGACAAGCUGGACUCGGAACAAACUGGGAGCAUCUGCAUCCAACCAUGACGGUCUGGCCAUGACAGUGGUUAGAGAGGAGUGGCUUCUGUGAAACUCUCACAGUCUCAAGUCUCCCACAAAUCCCUCUUUCAGCUAACUCUAAACUUGUACCAUAGAAGAAAUGGAUUCUGAAAACUUGGUCUCCAACCUUAGACAAAUUGAAUAAUAUGUCCUCUCCUGCUUCUUCUGUAACUGAAUUUGCAUUGGAAAGCAGGCCUGUCACUCUCAGACUUUGUGGUUUGAGUAGGGCUCACUUCAGCACCACCUUUUCCUCCUCUCAGUGCCAGGGACUGGCAUGAGACUCGGGCCUGGCCAACUGAAUGUCACACACCUAUGACCAUUAGUUGGCUCAAAGAUGAACUCAGGACACCAUCACAGUCAAUGAGACCCUGUUAGGGAAAUUUGUCAGAACCAUACAAAGAAAUAGCUCCACUUUUCCAGAGAGAUGAGACAUAAGCCUGGACUAACUGUUGUCCAACUUUCCAUCAAGAGAGACCUCUGAGAAGAUAGAGGAAAACUGGGGAAAGCGAAGUCUAAGGCAGGCAAGUAAGGGCAAGUCCAGUUGACAUCAUAUGAAUCACCUGAACCUAGAAAACAAGGCAUAGCUGGAUUCAAAGCCAAGAAAAAUUGGCAGCUGGCUUGAAUCAGUUUCUAUCACUUGCAGUUGAAAAGGACCAGACUAAUCCGAUAGAGUUAACAGAGGAACAAGUAAGCAAGAUUCUCCCCUACAGUAAGUGCUCAAUGCAUGUCAGCUGGUAUUAUUAUUAUACAGCCUUCCAUUUCUAGCCCUUUUAUUUCUACCACCUCUCUUCUGUGUUUUAUGUAAAGUGCAUUAAGGAUUGUUCUGUUUGGAGACAUCAAACCAUAUAAAAUGACACCAGCAGGUCCCUUUCUGUCUGUCAGUGUCCACAAGCUCAACAAUCAGGAUCAGCAAACAAAAACAGCUAAGCUGGAGUCAGUGUUUUUAUGAAGAAACAGGAAAAGAGCUUACUUAGGAAUUGUAGCUCAUCCUCCAAUAUUCUCCAUUCUUUUCAUGACAGUUUCUUCUUGGCCCUGAAGAUGCCUCUUCAUGACUCCCUGCCUCUGUCCUUUCUUCAUCUCACUUACAUAUUCCAACAAGGAGUACAGCAAGCCUUGGGAUGAGGACCUCCAAAGGUCCUCAGUAUCCUUAGGACACUCUGAGUGCAGAACUGGAGGGACUGAGAGGAGGAGCUUUUGCAGGUUAAAUGACUAGUAAAUGGCCUUUCUUUAUAUUUCCACUAGAAAUGAGAUUAGCUACACUUGAGAAGGAAUGACUUUGGAACAACUGAUCCCUAGCUUUCUUUGAGAUGCAGGGAGUAGUAACCACCUAGUUAAUCAGUGAAAGCAUAUUUAUAAAGUUCACAGGGUACAUAGCAUAUAGCAGCUGUUCUCUAUCUCAAUUGAGUUUUGACUAGGAAAUGGGCUUAGGAUAAAACACGUGGGCUUUCGAGUAAUCAUUUGUAAGUAAUUGUAGAUAGUGACCACAGUUUAAUAGCAUAGAUAUAUUAUGAAAAGUCACUGAAAUACCUUCUCUGGAAAAUGUUAGAAACUCAAGUAGAAUGGCUUAGUUAAAGGCGAGUGGGAGAGAAACUUGAAGAAUGCGGUCCAGUACAAGAAUACCCCAUUUUCCCCCCAAGGCAAUGAAUCCCUUUUCAUGCAUCUAGUGACAUGAAGUAAUCAUAGUUAUUUAUACAGGAACAAUUUAGGAGACUUAGAAUAUUCACUUCUUUUGCCUUCUAGCUGAGCAUCAAGAUUCUCUCCGUGUCUCUGCCUCUCUCUCUCUCUCUCCAUUUUCCACUUCUAGCUCCAACUAUUUUAAAUCCCUCCCCCAAUAGAGCCCAUAACAAACAUAAAACAACAUUUGUUUUAUGUUUACAGUAGAUGUUCAAGCUAAUAUUUAUGUAGGUAUAGCCCCAGCAUUAAAUUAAGGUUUGGUUCACCAAGAGGGUGCCUAGAGACUUCACCUCUAUUUCCAUGAGGGACUGAACAGCCUCUUGAGAAGGGACUCAUCAAAAUGGAAGAGUUGGCAAUAAGAAGUUUGGCUCAAUAACCAAGCACUGAAGUUGCAGAGGAGAAAGGAUUUGAAGGGCAGUACAACGUUCAGGGGCAAGUUGGCAAUUUUUAGCAGGAGCUGAAGUGAUGCCAGCAGAGGUAACAGUGCUCAGAGGGACCAGCAGUCCCCAGGAGGAGCAGGGGAAUCCCCAGUGGAUCUGAUUUGUUCGAGAGCCCAUGUGAGAUUAUCAGCUGGCGUUACAAUUUUGGAGUGGCAGUGAGAAGCAGUGAAUUUGAGGUCACUCAAUUUGCAGACCCCAAUGGGUGAAAUGUUGAGAAACAUGGGUUACAUAUGUAUUUGACAACUCUUGUGUAUUAUCACAAAUCCUAUUUCACCUCUCAUGCCCCCGAGGCUUUGGUGUCCAGUUCCCUGAAGACUUCAUCAAUCCUCAGUCACAAAUCACCUGAGAGCCACUCACCUUGCUCCAUACUAUGAAGCUCCCUGAUGUCACAACAUGGCGGGCCUGUGGAAACCCCUCUGCACUUAUGCAUGAUCCCAAACAGCUAGAGGAUUAACACCUACAGUGUAACCCUUGAGCAGCAGGAAAUGGAAAUUAUUGUCUUUUUGUCCCCCCAGGGGAACAGUUCUAAAAUGCAUUUUAUAAAGCUUCUGAAAUAGUUCCACAGGUCAAGCACCUACUUGCUCCAGUGGUGACCAACUCAGUGGUGCAUCCUUGGGUUGACUCUCCCUCGUUUCCAGUUCACUUUCCCUGCCCUUCACUUCUGCACCUCAGCAUCACAUUCCUGAAUAAACCACUCACACAUCUUUCUUAUUUCAGACUCUGUUUGGGGGAAUCCACAAUACAAAUUUGUUAUUUUGAGUUAAACAUUGUUCUCACCUUGAAGACAUAUUUCCAUACCUAGAGAUUUCUGACAUUCUCUCCCUUUUCCUACCAUCUCCUUUGUGCUUUCUCUGACCUCCAUAUUCCAGAACCCCAUGACAUUUAGAGCCAGUACUGCUAGGGAAAUAGUUCAGUUGUGUUUUAAAUGGUUCAGCAACUUGUAACAUCAACUGAGAACCAGGGGAAUACACUCGGAGGCCAAGAAAAAAAAUGUUAGUUAAUAUGUACCAUAGAGUAUGAUUCCUUGGGUAAGGGAAAGUUUAUGCAAGUGACAGAGGAAAAUUGAAAGUUGUAGCCCUUUUUUCAGAAUUUAUAUUUGGAAUUAAAGUUUCUCUUCUCUUGAAAGACCUUCUUUUUGUGAUGAAUCUGAAGCCCGGAACAGUUGGCCAAUUUGCCCUAGUUGAGAGUGGCAAAUAAAUGAAGAGCUGAAGAAUGUGUCUCUUUAACUAGUGCUCCUUGGUUGAGAAGAUACAAAAAAAAUUGAAGGGUACGGAUGAAUCCACUGGCUUUUUCACGUCUCUGUUGAUCAUAAUGAGAUUAAUAUAUAUAGGACAUUCACACAAAGGGGAUGUUGACUCGAUGGCUUACAGAUUAUUAGAGUUAGAAAUGUUACCUACUACUAAAGGAAGAACGUUUCAGGUGUGGAUCUCUGAUUUAAAAAAUACACCACACUUGCCUCAGUGAAGCAAGUCAACUUAGGUGCUGACACAAUGCCACUGCAGAUGCAGAUGUACUGAGUUCAUGAAAUCAGAUCCCACUCUCUCCACCUACCCCUACUGUAUUCAUCCUACUUUCCAUCUGUUCUGCCCUUCCCAUUUGGUAACCUAUUCAUGAAACACCUGGCUCUGGGUCCUUCAACAUCAUUCCAUGUUUUACUGCUAGCAUCACUUUUCUUGGCACAGAACCUCUUAGGGCUGCUAUCCUAGGAGUAGGUGCCACUCAGGCUGGCUUAGUCCCAGGCUUCACUCACUUCUUGGCCCAUGCCCUGGAGGACCAGAAAGAACAAACUCUCUGCACAACAUCUCUGCAUGUGACCACAGAGCCCCCAUCUGAGCCUUGCUGGUAGAGAAGAAUAUGCUGCCUCACAAGAUAACUGUGUGGCUCUGUUCAAAAACUUAGAAGUUAUUUCUUUUAUUGCAUUAGAAUUUGCCUCCCUGUAGCUUUUGUGCCUCUGUCCUGGUUCAGCCUUAGAUAGCAGUGCAGCCUGGUCCAUGUGAAAGCUCUUGCAAUAGGCAUUUCUGCUAGUCAGGAGUUCUCGGACCCAUCUCUACUCUUUACUUUUCUCAAGAUUAAUAUCAGACUCCUGGGUUCAAGGAGUCUUCAAGGUUUCCUCAUACCAUAAAAGUUCUAAGCCCUCCAUUGUCCUAGUCACUGUCCUCUCUGUUCUAUCCCUGUCUGCCCUUCCAAGAUGCUGCACCCAGAGAUUUUGUCCUUCCUGGGGCAAGUCACCAUGAGAUGUUUACUUUUGGAUCAUACUGAAUUUGUGGGUUAAAUAAACUCAUAGGUCUCUGUCUCAUGAACUAAAUCCAAAUUCCAUCUCUUGCCAUAAAUCGUUUUUUGAAUAGUUGAACAGUAAGUAAAUAAUACACAAAUGAAUACUAAUCAAUAUUUGAACAUCCUCAAUAUUUUCAGCCCUAGUUUGAGCCAGAGAUAGCUUAUCUUGUGUACUUCACUAAGGACACUUUAUAUUAUCAAGCAAUUAAUAUUAUGAUGAUGUUAUGAUGUCAUAUCUCAACAAGCCCCACAGUAUCACUUCCAGUCUCUUCACCACAAAGAACCCUGAAGCCUUCAUAUUUUUCUGAAAAUCAUAUUUCUAGCCACAGGAUGGGAUGUAAGAAAAGUUCAGAUUAGGAUUAUUCUAGGCUCCUGACUAUAACUAAAAUCCUGAUUUUUAUGGAAAGGAAUAGGGAUCAUUCCUUCAAAUUAGAUAUUUGUGAUAAAAAGAAAAAAGUUGGUAAUCUAUGCAAAUUUUUAACAAACAGAACUUCAUUUUCUUUGGAAAAUAGUAGUUGAACCCUUUUCUUAUAUAUGAAUUGGGGUGCAAUAGAGUUUAAUAAAAAUGAUGGGGAACACUCUUAUAAGGCUAAUUUAUCACAUUUCCUUCAAGGAAUUGUUCUUUCUAACGAAAUUGUGAAAUGGAACUCAACAAUAGCAUGAUGGGGCCUCUACCAGGAGGAGGUACAGAACAAGGCAGGAGGUCAGUGGUUAAAGGACUCCAUGCUUAUGCUCAAUAAAUGUGGAUCUUAUUAGACGUGACAUAUGAACGGUGCAAGGUGCCUCGAUGGCCUUCAUGGGGUCAUGAAAAGCUGUGAGAACACUGUGGAGGAUGAAUGCAAAUCCACAAUAUUAGGAUGAAUGUGAGAGGAGAAGGGAAGGAGGCCAUGAGGGAAAAAAUGACAUCUAAUUGGAUCUGAAAGGGAAGGUAGAAUUAAAGUAAAGAACACUGUGAACAUAUGGGAAUACCAUGUACUUUCUCAUGGAGAGAGGCCUUCCGAGAGUUCUGCACUGAUACCUCUUCUUUGACCAUCCCUUGUUAGCCAGCAGGUCAUUUGCCCUCAUCAGUUGCCUCAGUGCUGAGUGGUAGACUCAGCAGUCCCCAACCUCUUUGGCACUAGGGACUGGUUUCAUGGAAGGUAAUUUUUCCAUGGAUCAGAGAAGGGAUGGUUUCAGGUUGAUUCAAGUGCAUUACAUUUAUUGCACACUUUAUUUCUAAUACGAUUACAUUGUAAUAUACAAUGAUAUAAUUAUACAACUCGCCAUAAUGUAGACUCAGUGGGUGCCCUGAGCUUGUUUUCCUGCAACUAGAUGGUCUCAUCUGGGGGUGAUGGAAGACAGUGACAGACCAUCAGGCAUUAGAUUCUCAUAAGGCAUACACAACCUAGAUUCUUCACAUGGGCAGUUUACAAUGAGGUUCACGCUCCUAUGAGAAUCUAAUGCCUCUGCUGAAAUGACAGGAGAUGGGGCUUAGGUAGUGAUGGGGAGCAGCUGUCAAUACAGAUGAGUCUUUGCUUGCUUGCUUGCUGCUCACUACCUGCUGUGCUGCCUGGUGCCUAACUGGUACUGGGGUUGGGAACUCCUGGUAGACUAACAACAGAACAAAGCCAAGUCUCAAGGAGAGAGAGUUGUGUAGAUGCCUGCCUGCCCAGUCUCUGUUGUGGGGGCCAAAUCACCCAAGACCUGCAUUUAAUUCCUUAUGGGCUUAGGCUGUGAAUUCAUGUAAAAUCUCAAGAAACCAAGAUGACAGGCCAGGGACCAAAGAGCAAAAGACCAUAGCUAUGGUAGGGGAGGAGACAAAGUCAAUCCCACGUGGACAGAUGGUGAUGAUGCUUAUCAGUUCUGUUCUGUCAUUCCGUAAAGGUAAAAACUUGUGUUCUUUUUCCUAGCACAGUCCAGAUGGUAUUGGCUGUGAUUAAAGAAAAUUCAGACAUGUGUGGGUGUGGCUGCAAUAGACAUUCAUGAGGGCUUUCGUUUUUAUUUGAAAGGGGCAGAGUAAGUAUUUGUGAACACUGGAUGAUGAUAAAGAAAAAGAAAUGGUGUCUAGUAUCCUACCUGGCCUCAUGGACCAUGGCUAGAGGGGUUAGAGGCAAAGUCAAAGGAAGCUGCCACCAUAAAGGGCUCUGUGAAUGCUGUUUAGGUUGAAAUGUGUGACAUAGCACUGGGAAGUGUUUCACUGCAUUAGCUCAGGCCAUAGCACGACCCUUAACAAACUCCUUAAGGUGAUGGUCCCCUUGGCAUAAGUAUUGGGGUUAAAAUCGAGGUUAACCUUAGGAAUAGUAUGGUUAAGAUUCCCCUGCGUGACUUUGGAAGUUGAAGACUCUGAUCAGGAGAACUACAGCAGGAAAGAGAAAAUAUGACUGAGGCUAAGUGGUGACUUGAUAUUGACUGAUAGGUGAACACAGGAAUGAAUUUCAGCAAGAACCCCAAUGAACGUCUGGGGAGUAGAGACCGUGUAUGAGCAGGACGGAAAAAAAAAACAGAAGAUUCAGGUAGUGUCCUGUCGUGUGUCUCUUUUACAGUCGUGAAAUGAAGGACUUUCAGUGUUUUCAUUGAGCACCAAUCAAUUCCCUCUUUGCAAAAGACCAUAUUGGAAUAGCAUCAAGGUUUAGGGAUAUUAAAGCAAUACAAUGACACUGGAAUGACCACUGAGAACCAGCAAACUUCUUUAGCCCUUUUAUCCUCAGGCACUCUGGAAGCCAUGAAUCUGGUUUACUUGCUAAACUGUGUGUACUGCACAGAGUACAAUGGUAAAGCAACAAAGAUUGGCUCUAAAAUCUCUUGUAAAGGGAAGAGUGGUCAUCCCUUUAGAUGGCAAAUUGAGUUUCUAUAAUGGGGUUUGCUCUGAUGUCAAAUUUCCACUCAGGCAACAAGACAUUCUGUUGUUUAAAGCCCUAGAUGGGUGAUGUUUCUUUCACAUGCAAGGCCUGAAUGCUUCAUUGAGCUCUCUUUUAUCCACACACACUCAUUUAAACCUUUGUCAAAACUAUCCUUUAGCAUUUGCAUCUCCUGUGCAGGCAGAAGGGUCAAUGGGGAUAAUCAGGAGAGAUGAGGUGCACUUUCAGAAGCUGGAGCUGAGAAGGUGAUGGAAGUAUCUGUAAAGUCGUUGAACAGCUGCACAAACUAUAGGGGAAGAAUUUCAGGAAGCAAAAGGGGAAUAGCCCUUUCCUCUUAAACCAAAGCAGAGCACAGCUCCAGAGGCACUUAUAUGGAGAGUUCAAUGGAAUGUGAGCUCUAAGAGUGGUUGAGAAUCUGACAAAAACAGCCAUCUGCCAACCCAAAAUUAAAACUCCUCUGUUUAGCACCCAGUAGAGAAAGUCAACCAGAUUGAUUUCCCAAACAAAGAACCUUAAAAGCAUCACCUAAGAAAGUGUGUCAGGAUCCACAGACAUCCAGAGCAUUCUCUAUGGUUCAUUACUUACAUUAUUCCUGUCUAUUUACACAUAAUGUUUAGAUGUAAAAUCCUUACAAUGAAAAGGGUGUAUAUGCUUUUAAAAAAGGCACAACAGAGAAGAGUUGAGCAGGUGGUGUGCUGGCUCACAGAUGGCCUUGAAAAAGAGGGUAAUCCUAAGAAUUAGAAUGAGUUGGUGGUAGUUAAAUAGAAAAGAACACAGCAAACUGCAUGCCAGAGGCCUGCCAGUAGUUGAACUCUCUUGACCAACAACGGGCAUGUGUGUGUGCUUUCUAAUAUAAAUCUCUGCCAUCGUCCAGGCCAGAGGUAAUAAGCAAUGGAAUAAGGCAGUAGGAACAAAAAGUAAAAGACAGUGAGAUGCAAAACCAACUUGGGUCUAGGAACAAGACCUUAUCCAUUUCAGAAUCUAUGGUGCCUCGAUGGCACCUGGCACAUAGUAGAGGCUCUGUAUAAAUUUUAUUUGGCAAUGGGCUCUAGAGACUUUGGGGGAAAUGCUAAUGUGCAAAAACAUGUUUUCAUUCUUCAUAGGUGGGAGCUUCAAUUUUUCCUACUUGCUUGCAUAUGAUAAUGAAGAAUAAUAAUAGAAACUGAAAUUUGCUCAUUUGAGUUUCUCUCUACAGAGUAGGUAGAUUCCCAACAGAGUACCUAGUAUAUGUUUGCUAAAUUAAUGAAUGAAUAUGUGAAUGAAUAGAUGAGUGAAUCAAUGAACACAUUAAAGAAUGAAUCAGCAAAUCAAUGAAUGAAUCCAUCAUUUAGUCAAUGAGUCUUAUUCAUCUUCUUCUAGAUAGGCUUAUAUCUAAUGGAGUGAAAGAGCCCUGGACUUGGACUCAGGGUUUAUGCUUAAUGUAUUCCUUCCACAAAUAUUUACUGAGCACUUGAGCUGUACGCUAGGCUCUCUGCUACUACCAUGAUAUGAAAGAAUGCUAGAGCUAUAGUGCAAAGAAGACGAACUUCCUCUUUUGUAAAGAAGAGGGAAGACACAUAAUAAAUAAUAAUAAUAAUAAAUAUUAGUCCAGAUAGCCCAAGGGUAUGCAGAAUUGAGUACUCUUUUAUAGAGGGAGGUCAGGAAAGGACUCUCUGAAAGUGACAUUGGAACAGAAAUCUGCAUAAUGAGAAGGAACAAAAUUAAAGUCUAGGGUAAGAGCACUCUAGGCAGAAGGUACAGGAAGUGCAAAGGCCCUGAGGCAAGAAUUGGCCCAAAUUGCCAAGGUAGAGAAACAAGAAUGUGCCACUGUAGCUGGAACAAGCAGGGGAGGGGAGUAGGAUGCCAUAUAAGGUCAAAGCAGUAGGGAGGACUUCCUUAUUUUACCUGAUUAUGAAUUGAGACAAUAAGAACAAUAGCUCAUAGCUGUUGAGAGUUUACAAUGUGUCAAGCAUGAUUGGACUGUCUUACUUAAUCAUCACAACAACCCAACAAGACAGGCAGGGUGAUAUUCAAAGUAUUUCACCACUGGCAUGUCAUAGGCACCAACCAAUCAGAUAAUGUCAGCCUCAACUAUCCUCUAGCCAUAUAAGUGUAGACAGGCUUGAUCUCGGGUACCACUAUUUCUCUCACUUACUGGGUUAAAAAGGUGAGUUUAGAGAUGGGGUCAUCACCUCGGAAUUAGACAGCUGUCCAUUUUACCACAAACUAUAUAUUGAAAAUGGCAAGUAACCUACCUCUUAUAAAUGCUGCUUAGGGAGCUCAGGGGAUUCUUUAUGUAAUAUGAAAAUAAGUGAUGUCGGGAUUUACUAUCCAUACUAUAGAAGAAAGGGCACCAUGCUAGGAGUAUGAAAUCAUAGAACUACUCCUAGUACGAGACUUUGAGGAAAUUGCUUUACCUCUCUGGUUGUCGGAAAACUUCCAGCCAUGGGUAGUAAAUGGGGGGUGCUACUGGCAUCUUGUGGGUAAAAGCCAGGGGUGUGGCUAAACAUCCUACAGUGCACAGGACAAGUAGCACUACAAAGAAUCAUCAGCGCUGGGUUGAGAAAUCCUGCUAUUGAUCCCAGAGAGGUAACGGACAUUGUGAGGUGUGACAUUAGGGAGUGGUGGGGACUAGAGAAAACUUCAGAGUAUGCACAGUACAUUUGCUUUCUAAAGGCAUUUCAUAUAAAAAAUAAUUUGUAAACUUUGUGAACUGAAGAGAACACAUCUUCAGGCCAAUUUUGGUCUUUUAUGGCCUUAACCAGACUUGGUUGCCCAUAAUUUUCUUUAAACAGAUGAGGAUAAAAGUCUCCUAGUCCUGCAGGCAUGUGUGUAUGUGUGUGUCUGGGAGGGGAGGGGCGCGUACACAUAUAUACAUGCACACACAUAUAUGCUCUUAUACACAAACACACAAGAAGAUUUAUUUUUAAAGUGUUUUCAGAAGGUGAGGCUCUCAUCCCCCUUAGAACCCAGUCCUGGUUUUUUUAAUUCUGUAACUUUUCCCUCCUUCAGUUAUACCAGCCCCCUUCCUCUUAUUCUGACUUUGGCAAAGAUGAAGCCCAGCUCCUCUACUCCACUCAUAAGAGGAGCUUCUGGUUUUAGUUUUGGUCCCUUCAUGUUGCCUAAAGCCCCUGGGAAGGAGGCACCCUCACUCACAUUACUCCUUUAGCCUGUAGAGACAGAUAGGCUAGAAAAGACAGGUCGGCCCCACGUUUACGAUGUGCCCACAGAGUUAUUUAUGGUUUGUUUAUCCACUCAAUGCGGAGCAAUUAUGGCCUCUGACUUUCAGCUCCAAGGUGCAUUAACAGAUUUGGGGGUAAAUUUUCAGUGUCAAGCUGCAUAGUUGUACUGGGCGUUUCAGCCUCUCCCCAUAAAGCAAACACAGCAACAAUCCCAGACACUCAGGCACAGUGGCAUUUUUAGAGAGACACCAAUGACCCCAUUAGUCGAGAAGCUGUGGGAAAGCCUGAAACAGGUGAAAAAGUGAUGGAAUUAGGAAAGUGAAGUUCUCUGAUCGUCAGGCUCCGUGGAUGGGCACAAGUGUGGCAGACAUACUACAACAGAUGUGGACCAUGAGUUGGCACCAUGAUUUCAGGUACAGGAAAACCAAAGGUUGAUGAGGGCACCAAGGCAAAGCCUCCAAGGUCCUGUGGGCAUCAGUGCAUACUGCUGAAGGGUCAGUUCUGCAUCAAGGAAAUACAUUUCUGCAGUGAUAUAGGCAUUUGAAAACCCUUGUACACUAUAAACAACAGGAUUGAUGGAAAAGUAGGAUAGGAG